GAGUAGCGAAGGUCAUGAUCUCAGACUGCCAAGAAAAGCCUCUAGCCAGGAGAAGGUGCCCGUACCGCAAACCGACACAGGUAGGCGAGAAGAGAAUUCUAAGGCGCGCGGAAGAACUCUCGUUAAGGAACUCGGCAAAAUGACCCCGUAACUUCGGGAGAAGGGGUGCCUCGGUAGGGUGAAUAGCCCGAGGGGGCCGCAGUGAAAAGGCCCAAGCGACUGUUUAGCAAAAACACAGGUCUGUGCGAAGCCGCAAGGCGAAGUAUACGGGCUGACGCCUGCCCGGUGCUGGAAGGUUAAGGGGAGUGGUAAGCUCGCAAGAGCGAAGCUAUGAACCGAAGCCCCAGUAAACGGCGGCCGUAACUAUAACGGUCCUAAGGUAGCGAAAUUCCUUGUCAGGUAAAUUCUGACCCGCACGAAUGGCGUAACGACUUGGGCGCUGUCUCAACGAGAGAUCCGGUGAAAUUUUAAUACCUGUGAAGAUGCAGGUUACCCGCGACAAGACGGAAAGACCCCAUGGAGCUUUACUGCAGCUUGAUAUUGAAUUUGGGUACGAUCUGUACAGGAUAGGUGGGAGCCGUAGAACUUUGAGCGCCAGCUUGAAGGGAGGCAUCCUUGGGAUACCACCCUGAUCGUAUCUAGGUUCUAACUUGGUACCGUGACCCGGUGCGAGGACAGUGUCAGGUGGGCAGUUUGACUGGGGCGGUCGCCUCCUAAAGAGUAACGGAGGCGCCCCAAGGUUCCCUCAGAAUGGUUGGAAAUCAUUCGAAGAGUGCAAAGGCAGAAGGGAGCUUGA
rnacentral:rRNA from 1 species